rnacentral:rRNA from 1 species
CAGUCGUACCUGCGGGUAAUCAGCCUUUUGGGCAUGAUUCUGUGGAGCGUGAGGAGUUAAACGCCUUCAUGCCUGCAUAUUCGUGUACUUGGGGUGUACUUAUUCGUGAGGUAAGUUAACAUCAAUUUUGGUCGUCAUAAAAUGACUGGAGGAAUGUAGCUUCGAUCUCGUAUUGAAGUGUUAUAGCCUUUGGUAGAUGUGAUUAUCGGGAUUGAGGAUUGCAACGGAUACCCUUCGGGGCUACCUGUCUGAUCUCUGAUCGUUGCUCUGGUGCCGAAAGCGUGCUUACGGUUAUCAAAGUCGAUGGUCAAC